UGAACCCUUGCCAUGAGUUCCAGCUUCUGUGGAAAGGGUUGCCACCGCCUCCUUGCUGGCUCUCUGCAUCCAGGGGAUCUUCUCCGUCAUCAAACUUCUUCCUCAUUUCUAGAAAGAAAUCAGCGAAUUAACAACCAGGUCCCUGAGUAGACAUCCAACUUGUUGAUUCCCAGUGCCGAAAUCUGAGCAACCCACUGCGACAGCUGAAACAGCAGCGACAAGAUUCCCGGUGCUUUUCUGCCCAGGAGUCUCCAGUCUCGCUUCCUUCUUGAGUCCCUUUUUCAAUCAGCUAAAUGGGCAACUCUGCCUUCGUGGAGCUCCAAACGUUGACCAAAAGGGGAGCCAGUCACGUUUACUCUGUACUGAGAACUGCUGCGCCGGGGUGCCAGCCACAAGAGUUGUGCUGGUGACCCGUGGGGCUCCUCCGCUGGAAAUCUCCUGGUCUGUGAGCAACAAAAAUUCAUCUGAAAGUGUGGUGUCCUCUCGUUCUCUGCGCUUUCACUGGGAACUACAAGCCUGAGCUGCUAGUGAUCGGCCAUCUUGGAUCUCUCUAUGCUUUUGGCGUUUCCAUUGUUAAAUUGCAACAAAAGCAAAAAUUAUGGGAUCUAAUUAAACCAAAGAACUUCUACAAAGCAAAAGAAACCAUCAAUAGAGUAAAGAGACAACCUACAGAAAGGGAGAAAAAUUUUGCAAACUAUGCAGCUAACAAAGGUCUACAAGGAACUUAAAUUUAUAAGAAAAAACCAACCCCAUUAAAAAGUGGGCAAAGGACAUGAACAGACACUUCUCAAGAGAAGACAUACAUGCAGCCAACAAUCAUAGGAAAAAAAGCUCAACAUCACUAAUCAUUAGAGAAAUGCAAAUCAGAAAGUCAAAACAAAAAAAAAAAAAAAAACAGAUGCUGGCAAGGUUGUGGAGAAAAAGGAAUGCUUAUACACUUUUGGUGGAAGUGUAAAUUCAUUCAGCCAUCAUGGAAGACAGUGUGGCAAUUCCUUCAAGACUGAAAUACCAUUCAACCCAGCAAUCCCAUUACUAGGUAUGCACCCAAAUGAAUACAGAUUGCUCUAUUAUAGAGACAAAUGCACAUGUCUGUUUAUUGCAUCUCUAUUCACAACAGCAAAAGACAUGGAAUCAACCUAAACGCCUGUCAAUAGACUAAAGAAAAUGUGGUACAUAUACACAAUGGAAUACUAUGCACCCAUAAAAAAGAACAAGACCAUGUCCUCUGCAGGGGCAUGGAUAGAGCAGGAGGCCAUUAUCCUUAGCAAACUAAUGCAGGAACAGAAAACCAAAUACCACAUCUUCUCAUUUGUAAGUAGGAACGGAUCAGGAAAAACAACUAAUGGGUACUAGACUUAAUACCUGGGUGAUUAAAUAAUCUGUACAAUAAACCCCCGUAGGGAAAAGGGGAGGGUCAGUGGGAGGGGGAGGUGGGGAGGGAUAGCCUAGGGAGAAAUGCCAAAUGUGGGUGAAGGGGAAAAGGAAAGCAAAGCACACUGCCAUGUGUGUACCUACGCAACUGUCUUGCAUGCUCUGCUCAUGUACCCCAAAACCUAAAAUCCAAUAAAAAAUUAAAAAAAAAAAAAAAAAAUGACUUCCCAAAAAAAAACCCCCGUAAUACACAUUUACCUAUGUAACAAACCUGCACAUGUACCACUGAACUUAAAAAAAUACUCAGCAUAUAGCUAGGUUUUUUUGAUAAAUGGGAAAUAGAGAAUGCAGAAAAAAUGUAUUUACAGAAAUAAUACCAAGUCCCACUUUGCUCUCUCACAGUAAUUUGUCCUUUAGGAGCACAAAGAUACUUACAAGCCAGUUGACUUCAUUCUGGGACGUUAAUCUGAAGCCACACAUUAGGAAGAGGAAACCCAUCAGUAAAAUGGAGGGUUCUUAUGCUGAGGGUUAAUAACUAAGCAGGUAUUAUAGUUGAUCUGAAACUCAGCUUUGUUUUAUAAAAGCUAAUGCACUUAGACUCAGGCCCCAUCCUUGGUAUCUCACAGGCAAAAUUUAUCUAGGGUGUUGGCGCUUCUUAGAAUAGUAGUGAACUCUGCAUAGUGAUGGGGGUGAUAAUGGCUCUAGAGAAAGGAUGCUAUGAAUGGAAAGGGAAGUGAACUCAGCUAUAUCCACAUCAUGUAAUCAGUCAAAAAUUCAAUGGAGUGGUCUGCAUACAUCUCAAAGAAUGAGGUAACUAUUUUUCAAUGAGAAAAAACUAUAGCCAAGAUUUAUUUCAUGUGAUUCUACUGUCAUAAAUAUGACACAUGUGUUUUGAUAUGUGUACAGUAGAAAAACCAAAGUCUUUAAAAGAAAAGACAGUUCAUCCUGAACAUAAGAACAGGAAGUAAAAGGACCUGCAGCUCUUUCCUACAUGCAUGUCUCUGUGCAGGGACACCCAACCCCUUGGUUAGCGCCCUGCUACCUUAAAGCUUAGACCAAGAGUCCCCAUCCCAUAAGAAGAUCCUGACUCCCACUCUGAUACACUACUACACCUGUGCACUGCACAAACUAAGAGGACUGAACUGCUCAAGGCAGGUUGUAGGCAUUCAAUAUAUGCUGAGUAACAGGACAGUAUGUGUCCUACACUACUUGAUAAGGGAAGUACAUUUCUGUCUCCUUUGCUGGUUAUAAAUUACUUGAAAAUAAAGGAUUAUUUACCUUCAAUUCCAUUCCAUAAGUAGGUGCUCAAGAAAAAGAUUUGACAAAUAAACAUAACAUUUGCAUCUCUUUUUGUUUCAUUUGUCUGGCUCAGAUCACAGCUUCUGCUGCCACUGACAUGGAAUGCCACAAAAAAGCACUAAGUGUCAGCUUAACAUGAAAUUCCCUCUGGCAACAGCAGAGCAUUGUCCAGUAUUACCUCAUUGCUUGGCCUGUCUCCCUGUUACGAAAUUUCCAGGCCAAAUUAUUGUACGGCAAAAGAACACAUGUGGCCAGGUACCAAGGCUCACACCUGUCAUCUCAGGACUUUGGGAGGCUGAGCUGGGAAGAUCACUUGAGCCUAGGAGUUAAAGACCAGCCUGGACAACAUAGCGAGACCCCACUUCUACAAAAAGCAAAUAUUUGGAAAAAGAACACACACAUAAACCAGUAAAUCUAACAUUCAUCUGAUUUAGGCCAAGAUUCCUGGUGAACACACACGGGGUGAAGCAGGCCCUAGGCCAGACAUCUGCUCUUCUACGCUGUGCAAUCCAGUCUGGCAAGCUGGUUUCCUUAUCAAGCUCCUGUGAGCUUGGUAGAGAGAAUUCAUCACUGACCUCUGAGGUUAGAAGGAACCUGAGAUACUGUUACCCUCCAUGUUGAAAAAACUGAGACCAAAAAGUUCUGAGAACUUGUUUGAGUAGAAAAAAGAUUCAAAGUCAAGCCCUCUGAUUCCACGUUUGAUGGCUUUCCACUGUACCCUGCAAUGAGGGGGUCCCCAGCAUAAGAGGGCUGGAUAAGGGCAGGCAUAAAACUACAAUUCUGGAACUGGGCUCAGGACCAGUCACUGCCUACACAGGCCCACAUGGGGAACGCACCACGUGUUCCACCCUCACUUCUAAUACCACCUCUAGGAAGAGUGAAAGGAAUAAAGGCCAAUAAUACCUGGAUCAGAGAGGACUUCUUUAGCAGCUGCUAUAUCAAUGAACUUUUUCUCAGCUUUUUUCUUUUCUUCCUCAUUCUGGAAGUUAUCUGGGUGCCACUGCAGUGCCAGUUUUCGGUAUGCUUUAAUGAUUUCUUGCUUUUUGGCAUUUCUGAGGGGUGGUAAAAUAAAUAAUCAUUAGUGGAGACAUGUCUAACAUACUAUCAUAAAAAUCAGAAUUAAGAUCCUAUUGCCAAUAAACAAACUGGUUUUGUAAAAUAGUUCCAAUGGUAUCACAGGCCAAGGAUCUGCACACACAGUUCUGGAUGCUCAUUAAAGCUGACAUCAGCCUUGGGUAUCGCUCACUAAGAUUACUAGGAAUAAAGCACUCCUGAUCUCUAGAAUUUUCCCUUUUUUAAAAAAGGUACAUCAAUGAAUUGUUUAACUUUCUGAAUUUCCAAGCUACAAUUCUCGGCAUUAAAAAGAUUAUUUGACUCUGAACCCCACUUUCAAUUAUGUUUCUACAUUAGCUUACUUAAUAGUAAGCACAGAUAUCCCGAAUUUUGAUUGAAAGAUUGCUGUUACAAUCUUAGCUAACAACUGGGAGGUAUAUCAUUUACUUAAUAUGUAUUUUUAUAUAAGGUAAAUCUUAAUUUCAAACUUAAUUCUGAAAGCACUACUUUAUGUUUAGGCCUAGAGAAGGCAUUUUCUUUCCCCAUUCCCUCUCCUCCUCCAUCCUCACCAAAAGAAAGCUCACUCCUACCCCUUUACCCUUCUUUAAAAAAUCUAGGCCUGGGACCCAUUCAUGCUACAGUGUCAUAUCUUUGUUGCCAACUACUAAUUCUCUGUUGUUGCAUUAUUGGUGUCUAUCAAAGAAGCCUGCCUAUAACACACUCAGAAUAGCUCUGUAAUGUUAAGAUUGUUAGGGUUUAAUCCAUAUGACUGAAAUUAUAUAACAAUGAAUCAGAGGGGAAAAAAGCAAUGAUUACCUUUGAAACAGUUGAUUAAAAAUAGCAAAGUAAAUUUUAAAUUAAUAAUUCACCUUUUUACUCCCAAGAUUUUAUAAUAAUCUCGUUUCUGCGACUGUUUCAAUAAUCUUUGUGCUUUCUCUAGACCUUCUCGAAUCUGCUGAUCGUUUUCAUUGUGUUCCUGAGCAGUUUCAUAAUCCUGAAUAGCUGUCAAAAUAUGUUUAAGAUAAUACUGUUAAGGCAAAUUAUCAUUUGUUGCCUUUUCUUAUCCUGUAAAAUUGAUGCUAAAGUUAUCAUCCCCCAACCCUUUUACUCUUUGGCCAUUACUGCCAAAAACCUUAAAUGAUAUCCCCUUAGUAACUUUGAUUAAAAAAAAAAAUAUUUAAAAGAGGCUGGGUGCAGGGGCUCGUGCCUAUAAUCCCAGCAUUUUGAGAGGCUGAGGUGGGUGGAUCACGAGGUCAGGAGUUCAAGACCAGCCUGGCCAACAUAGCAAAACCCGUCUCUACUGAAAACAAAAACAAAAACAAAAAAACAUUAGCCAGGCUUGGUGGUGCAUGCCUGUAGUCCCAGCUACUCCAGAGGCUACGGCAAUAGAAUCACUUGAACCCGGGGGCGGAAGUUGCACUCCAGACUGGGUGACAGAGUGAAACUCCCAUCUCAAAAAAACCAAAAAAGUUUAAAAGGCAUAAUAAGAUGGAGUUUAGGUAGUUUAUUAUUCUCAUUCAACAAAAUGUACUGCUGUUUUCCUGCCCACCCUCCUGCAUUAUCUCCCCAUACCCUUGGGGUAAAUAUGUUAAUAUCAGCAAUUUAUCCAGAACAAUUUUACCACCACUAAGACUGAAGUGAUUGUUGCACAGGAAAGAAAGACAGUGAUAAAGAAAAUGUCCUGGUCAGGUAUGGACUGACAACAGUGCAGAACAAUUAGAUGUUUAGAAAUGGAGCAGGAGGUGGGUUUGGCCAAUGGGAAGCUAGAAAAGAAAAAUGUAUAGAAGGAAAGGAACAGAAGGAACUGUCCACAGUCCAAAUGACUGAGUAACCCACAGGCUUUAAUAUUACUGCAAACCUAAGUGCCAAUCAAAAUGCAAAACACAUACAGUCCCAGUACAGGGAGUCUGGUGACUAUCCACAUUACAUCUUUCAUUUUAUUUAUUUAUUUUUUUAAUUUUUAAGAGACAGGAUCUCUAUCACUUAGGCUCACUACAGCCUCAACCUCCCAGGCACAAGCCAUACUUCUGUCUCAGGCCCAUGAAGUAGCUGGCUAAAGCACGCACCACUACGCCCAGCUAAUACACAGCAUUUUAAAUACUUAGAAAAUACAAGGCACCUGGGUAUCUAAGAUCAUGUAGAAGAGAGUCAACGCAGCAGGCCUGAGACUGCUAUCCUUACAAAAGCCUGCUGACAAGGUUGGCUUACUGCUGAUGGCUGGGAAGCCGGAUUUCAGGAGUGUUCCCAACAUUCCAUGCUAAGAAUGACUCAUGCCUAAACUGUUUGUAUGAAAAAUAUAGAUUAUGCUAAACAUCUUUCCUUCUGGGGUCUGGAAUUUUGGUGCAGGCCAGACAGAAGGUGUCUAGUGACUAGUUCCCAACAAAAACUCUGGGGGUAGUCCUCUAACGAGCUUCCCUGGUAGACAACAUUGCAUACUUUGUAGAGUUUCUCAGUGCUGCGAAAAUUAAGCUUGUCUUUUGUGACAUCACAGGGAGAGGAGUCCUGCAGUCUUCUGCCUGCUUUCCUCCAGAUUUUCCCUCUUGCACCUUUUCCCUGUGCCGACUUCACCUUUUCACUGGAAUGAGAACCCUGAGUACAACUAUAUGCUGAGUCCUGUGUGUCUUCUUGCCAGAUCACCAAAUCUGGGGAUAGUCUAGGGAAGCCCCCACUCAAAUUUUUCUCAAUGUUCUCCCUGGAUAGAUAAUUCUAAUAAUAGAUUGCUGGGUUCAAACUCUAGUUUUUAUGAAAAUGCAUUUCACUGGGGGAAAAGACAUCUGAUCACUGGCACUUUGGACAGAUUAAAAUGAGAAAGAUAUUAGAGUAAGACUGAGACAGCCAAAUGCUGCAAAGGAGUUCCCGGAAAAACCACAACAGGCCUGUGCACUGGGAGGAGCGUGCACUGGGGUGGAGCCUCAGGAAGUUCCUGUGGCCCUUGGCAAUGGAGAGGAGCCUGGCCCCUCCUCUUACUGCAUGGAACCUGGGAUGCAAUCUGCGAGGUGGGAAGCACACUAGCAGGGACUCUGGCCAUGCCGAGGCUCCAUUUCCCUUUCUUUCUUUUCACCUGAUAAACCCUUACCUGUUCAAACUGUCUGUGAGCCUAAUUUUUCGUGGCUAUGUGACAAGGAACCCGUCUUUAGCUGAACUAAGGAAAAGAGGCCUACGACAAGACUAACAAAUUUAGACAGGCUACACUGCAUAGAAAAACGCACCACCACCACCACCACCUUUGCCCUGUGGCACUGGGGAAGGGGGGACCCUUUGAUCUUUUAUCCUAACAGUGAGUUCUCACAUCAGUGCAUCAACAUUAAAUUAACUGUUACUGUGGCCCAACCCCACAGGCACAUCAAAAACUUCUCCCAAUUUAGUAUAAAAACAAAACCAUCAUAAAUAGUAGUAAGGUUUAACUUUACAAUUAACACCCACAGCAUAACACACAACUUCAUAAGAAAAUAUACCUUGAAGGAAUACAAUAGGAAAAUGUUUCAAUACAUACAAUUUUGCUACUUGUGUAGACUCUACAUUUAAAACAUGUUUUCAUUUUUACAUGUUCAGGUUAUCUCCCCAAAGCAGUCUUUUGUAUCAUAAUUGUAUUAGAAUUUAAGGUGAAUACAUUUUUCCUAAUGUAAGACAAAAAUGUGAAAUUAUAGGUUGCUUCCUAUAUUCACAUAAUUGCAGAUAACCAUUAGAAACUUAAGUAUGGAUGACAUAAGACUCCCCACUGACAUAACUAGAAAAACCAUUUUAAAUUAUAUUUUCUCACAUUCUACACACUAAAAGAAUCUUAAAAAAACAAAAACCCAACAGACAAAAACAAGCAAUGGGGUUGGAAAAACUGGCCAGCCAUAUGCAGAAAAGUGAAACUAGAUGUCUUCCUUGCACAUUAUACAAAAAUUAACUCAAGAUGGAUUAAAGACUUAAACAUAAAACCUAAAACCAUAAAAACCCUAGAAGAAAACCUAGGCAAUAUCAUUCAGGACAUAGGCAUGGGCAAAGAUUUCAUGACUAAAACACCAAAAGCAAUGGCAACAAAAGCCAAAAUUGACAAAUGGGAUCUAAUUAAACUAAAGAGCUUCUGCACAGCAAAAGAAACUAUCAUCAGAUGAACAGGCAACCUACAGAAUGGGGGGAAAUUUCUGCAAUCUAUCCAUCUGACAAAGGGCUAAUAUCCAGAAUAUACAAGGAAUUUAAAUUUAUAAGAAAAAAAAACCCCAUCCAAAAGUGGGUAAAGGAUAUGAACAGACACUUCUCAAAAGAAGACAUUUAUGCAGCCAAGAAACACACAAAAAAGCUCAUCAUCACUAGUCAUUAGAGAAAUGCAAAUCAAAGCCACAAUGAGAUACCAUCUCAUGCCAGUUAGAAUGGCAAUCACUAAAAAGUCAGGAAACAACAGAUGCUGGAGAGGAUGUGGAGAAAUAGGAAUGCUUUUACACUGUUGGUGGGAGUAUAAAUUAGUUAAACCAUUGUGGAAGACAGUAUGGUGAUUCCUCAGGGAUCUAGAACCAGAAAUACCAUUUGACCCAGCAAUCCUAUUACUGGGUGUAUACCCAAAGAUUAUCAAUCACUCUACUACAAAGACACGUGCACAUGUAUGUUUAUUGCAGCACUGUUCACAAUAGCAAAGACCUGGAACGAACUCAAAGGCCCAUCAAUGACAGACUGAAUAAAGAUAGAUAAAGAAAAUAUGGCACAUAUAUACCAUAGAAUACACAGCCAUAAAAAAAGUGAAUUCAUAUCCUUUGCAGGGACAUGGAUGAAGCUGGAAACCAUCAUUCUCAGCAAACUAACACAAGAACAGAAAACCAAACACCACAUGUUCACUCCUAAGUGGGAGGUGAACAAUGAGAACACAUGGACACAGGCAGGGGAACAUCACACACUGAGGCCUGUCAGGCAGGGGAACAUCACACACUGAGGCUAGAGGAGGGAUAGCACUGGAGAAACACCUAAUGUAGAUGAGUUGAUGGGUGCAGCAAACCACCAUGGCACAUGUAUACUUAUAUAACAAACUUGCAUGUUCUGCACAUAUAUCCCAGAACUUAAAGUAUUUAAAAAAAAACACACACACCCAAUAAUGUUGAUCCCAUUACCAUAACUAAACAGCUAUGAAAGGUAGAAUAAGCCAGACACAUGUCAGCCAUGGAUAAAGAAUACCAUGCUACAUAUUAACCAAUUCAUUUUCUAACCUCCGAAUCUAAAAAAUUUUAUCUAUCCCAAAUUAUUUUUCUCUAUAUCCCCUUCACAUUCUUAAGGAGCAAUGCAAAUCACCAGCUAAGGAUGGGAGACGUAUGCACACACAUUUGUCCACCCUCCUUCCCACCAAAAUGACGAAAAGUAAUAUAACCAUAGCAGCACUGAGGACAACAGCAGACCAGCAACUUUGAUAAAUUUCUGGAAGAUAGGAAGUGGGAGCACAUUAGUAAUAAACCUAAGUAGAGAGAACCACAGUGCACGCACACACCAUAAGAGGUCCUAGCAGAUCUGGAAGCCAUUAUUUUUGGCAGAGGACCCUCAGUUUGGCAAGCAGAAGUAGCUAUAAGGCAGCUGUCAGGAUAGUCCAUGAGAUGACUAUGGGAUGGCUGGGCAGGCUCUGGCCCCUACAUGUGGAGCCACUGGCUGUAGCAUUAACUCCCACUGAGGUCCAAGAACCAGGCUAUAAGCAGAAGGAAAAAUGUGCCUGAGGAGGGCCCCGUAGGACACUCAAGACCUCUACAACAAACUGGGAACAAACGAACAAAAAGCAGUCCCACCCAGAAGUUAAAAAGACCAUUGGCUCAAAAAGCAAAGCCCAAACAGAACAUUUUCACAGAGAAAGCUGUCACUAACCUACCUCCCUGUAAAGCAGCAGUCUUUCCAGAGAUUUUUGCAAACUUUUACACCACAGGUGAUUCCUAAACAAUUGCACCGAAUCCUUACCCUAAUUGUUUGCUAUAUAUAAAAGUCAGUUAAACAUCGUUUUUCCUCCAAAUUUCUGAGAAGCUGCAAUACUGCCUUCUGCCAUCAGACACACUCAUACCACUUUUUGAGGAUGCACUUUCAGCAAAAUAAAAACAAGAAUCCAAGAAAAAUGAAGACAUGAUUAAAUUUUUAAAAAGAAGACAGAAAAACCCAGAAAGACAGUGAAAGGAGUUCUGGGCAAAAGAUGUGUGGCAGGCCAGGCACAGCCAUGAGUUAUGGGGCUAAAGAAUAUCUUCACAGAGAAAAGAAAAAAAAGGGUUAAAAAAAAAAAAAAAAAAACUCAGAGUAUCUUCACAGAGAAAAGAAAAAAAGGUUAAAAAAAAAAAACCCCAUAAAGAGUAUCUUCACAGAGAGCAGAUCUCAUUCACACACAGUCAUUAAAGCCUCAAGAUGUUUCUGGGAAGUCAGAGGCAUAGGUUUCUUCUGGCAAAGAAACAGUAACUCCACCUUGGGGUGAAGCUUACUAAAAAAUCCUGUAUCUGACACUGGUUGGUAAAUGAUUACAUCUCCUUCUCUAAGGAUUCAAACACAUGACUUGAUCCUGAAGCUAUAUAUUCAUAAUAUAUUAGUCUACUAAAUGGCUUUCGUUUCCUUACUAUCCGCAGUUAUAGAGGAAAGAAUCUAAAUACUACAAACAUUAUAAAAGUAUAUUAACACAUACUUAACAUGUAGUUGAAAGAUAAGAUGGAAAUAAACUAAUUUCCUUAUUAUCAGUAGUAUACAAUCAAGAGAUGCUCUCUAAAAGUGACAGCAAGAAAGAGACUUGGGUAUAUUAUAACUUAUCUAUAUCACGUUAAAGCUGUAAAUAUAAUCAAAAGAUUAAAUACUAAAAUUGAAGGUGAGAAAGAACAGAAGGAACUAGUAAGGUCUACUCAGUUCUUCCUCUUCUAUAGCAGGUAGACAAAGGAAGCUGCCUAAACUUGAUAAAUCGAGAACUAGAGGAAGACAUACUUUAAUUUCAAUUACAGUGGUAACUAAUAAUUAGAAACUAUUACAUUAAUACUAGAAAUUAUUUUAAAAGUGGUUACAGUUGGGUGCAGGACAUGCACCUGCAGUCCCAGCUACUUGGGAGGCUGCGGCAGGAGGACUGCUUGAGGCCAGGGGUUUAAGACUACAAUGCACUGUAAUUACACCUGUGAAUAACCACUGCACUCCAGGAGGGACACUAGAAAUAUUCAAACAAUCUAAAUGACAACAGAAAGAGAGGAACAAAAAAUUCAAAAGCAAAAGGACAAAAAGAAAACAAUAGUAAAACGGCAGACCUACAUACAAGUAUAUCAGCAAUCACAAUACUCAUCAAGUAAACACUCCAAAGGACAGAGAUUACAAUUAUCAAAACUGAUAAAAACAACAAGUUCCAACUAUAUGAUGUCUACAAGAGACACACAGAUAAAGGCACAAAGACAUUGAAAGUAAAUAAAUGAAGACAGAUACACCAUGCAAGCAAUAGAUCAAGAAGGCAGAGGUGAUGCUAUUAAUAUCAUAUACAACUUCAAGAAAGAGUAUUGCCAGUGAUAGCAGGAAGACUGAGUAACAGUAAAUGUAAAAAUUCAUCAGGAGAACACUUGACAGUCAUAAAUAUACAGGCUGCUAAUAGCAGAGCUUCAAAACGCAUAAAGAAAAUAUUGACGAUAUCAAAGAGAGAGACAGGAGAGUUCACAAUUUCCACAACAGACAAUCAAAGAUCUUAACUCUCCCCUCAUACCUGAUAGAAAAAUUAACAGAAAUAUCACGCCCAACAAUUGUAGGAUACGCCUUUUUUUCAAGUGUACAUAGAAUAUUAAUCAAAUUGGAUAUCAUGCUGGACCACAAAACAAGCCUAAAUAAAUUUAAAGGAAGGAAAUCACACCUAGUAUGUUCUUUGACCACAGUGGAAUUAAAAUCAAAAUAAAUAAUAAAGUACCUAGGAAACCAUCAAGUAUUUGAAAAUUAGAACACAUAUACAUAAUCAGUGCCUCACAGAAGUCAGAAGGGAAAUUAGAAUACACUUCAAGCCAAGUUAGAAUGAAAGCAAGACAAAAUGCGAAAGGUGCAACUUUAAAUGCUUAUAUUUAAAAAAGGAAAGGCCUAAAAUAAAUGAACAUUCAACCUUAAGAAGCUAGCAACAGCACAAAGUAUAACCAAAGUCAGUCUAAGGAACUGAAGAGCAGAAAUCAAUAAAAUAAUAAAGAAAAACCAUAGAAAUUAUUAACAAAUUCCAAAGUCGGUUCCUUAAAAAGACCAAAAAAACUGACCAAACUCUGUCUACAAUGAUCAACAGGAAAAAAAAGAAAACACAAAUUAUUAAUAUUAGAAACAAAGCAGGAAUCAUCUUACAGACUUUUAGAAAUUUAGACAUUAAAGAAUAAUAUUACGAACCUCAUGCUGAAAAAUUCAGCAAUGUCAAGAAAUGGAAACAUUCCUUCACAGAGUAACUUAUAAAAACUAUCACAGAUCAAACAGAAAAUAUUAAUAACCUUAUACUGAAUAAAAAAAACUAAGGCCAGGUGCAGUGACUAACACCUGUAGUCCCAGCACUCUGGGAGGCCAAGGUGGGCAGAUCACUUGAUCCCAGGAGUUCAAGACUAGCUUGGGUAGCAUGGCAAAACACCAUCUCUACAAAAAAUACAAAAACCAGCCAGGUGUGGCAGCAUGCACCUGUAGUCCCAGCCACUUGGGAGGCUGAGAUAGGAGGAUCACUUGAGCCUGGGAGGUCAAGGCUGCAGUAAAUCAUAAUUGUGCCACUGCAUUCCAGCCUGAGUGACACAGCAAGACCUUGUCUCAAAAAAAACAAAAACAAACAAAUACUAAAACUAAAUUUGUCAUCAAAAACAUCCUAUUAAAAAAAAACCCAACCUGUGCUAUACUUUAUCAAUAGUUAAGAAAUGUCACCAACUCUAUUCAAAGCACUGGAGUAGGCAGACACAAAUAAUGGCCUUUGUUCAUAUAGUCUGUUUCUAUUUAAAAUUAUGAAAAAUCUUGAGUUUUUUUUCCCUUUCUUAAAGAAGCCUCUUCAUUACUUGAGAUCACACUCAUUAGUCAUAGGAAAUUACAGUCUUGACAAUUAACAAAAAGCCAAAAUGAAAAUGUAUCUGACUGACUUCCCCUAUCCAAACCUACCCUCUGCCGUAAGGCAAAUGUGUUUGUCACUGUUGGGAGAGGCAAAGGACCCCUCCACAGCCUUCUAAGCUUCUGACCCAGCUAUGCAUCUGCAGCGAACUUCUUGAUCUUUUUUCCUUAGCAUUUUUUUACUUCCAACACUUUAAGUUUUUCAUAAUUUGGAAAUCUGUCUUUUGUCUUUUUCUGCUGAAUAAUAUUCCUUGACUAUUGUAACCAUUUCCUACUUCCUCACCUACAUAUUAUACUCAUGGGUUCACAGAGUUGGCACCAUAGGGAGUACAAUGUUUUACCCAACUGAUAUGGGCAGCAAAUACGCUAAUCCCAACCUAGCAGGUAGUAGUUUUCCUUGUAACCACACACUUUUCAAAUGAAAUGAGAACUCUGCAGCUGUGGCUAAGAGUUGAAUAAAAGUGCGAGUGUGAAUAAAAACUGCAAGCAUGACUGUAAAGUCAGUUCAGGAAAUGUACAACCAAAGGCUUUCAUCAGUCUACAUGCCAUAUCCCACUAAUCGUCUUUGUAAAGGACUAGCCAUUUAUUCUAACCACCCGCUUCCAACUAAUUAGCUGAGCUAAGGUAGAUGUACUUAUUUCAAGAGUUAAAAGUUUCAGAAGCAUCUGCUUUAUAGUUUCUGAUUACAUGUGUCUGUGGUUAUUAUGAUGGUGUAUAAAGCAUGUCAAUAUCUAAGCAGCCUCCAACUUAUAAAGUCACAUUUAGUUAUGAUCCUAAAUACAAUCAGCAUCUUCCAACAAAGACCAAUCUCUUCCUCUUCUCCUCCCCAUAAACAGAAGCCAGGAAUCCCUGGUUAACAGCCUUGAAAAAAAGCAUCACCCAUGAGAAAUGUGAUCUGUUAGAAGGAAUGGUCUCCUUUAUGCCCAGGAGGCAGGCCUGUUGCCCCAAUACCUCCCUCGUAGGCUGCCUGACCUGAUGGCCUAAGUACCUGCUUUAAGUUCCACUACUCAGACUCCUUUGGGUUAAAAAUGCUUAUCUCAUAAGGAAUAGAAACCAACCAGUGUUUUUAACAAGUAUCUUAAAUUUGGCCACUCUUAUUAAAACACAGAUGUGUUGCGGGCUAAGCCUGCUGAUGUACAGAGGUGGUAUGAUUUUUUUUUUUUUUUGAAAUGGAGUUUCACUUUUGUUGCCCAGGCUGGAAGGCAGUGGUGUAAUCUCGGCUCACUGCAACUUCUGCCUCUCAGGUUCAAGUGAUUCUCCUGCCUCAGCAUCCCGAGUAGCUGCAACUACAGGUGCGCGCCACCAUGCCUGGCUAACUUUUGUAUUUUUAGUAGAGCUGGGGUUUCACCAAGUUGGCCAGGCUGGUCUUGAACUCCUUACCUCAGGUGAUCCACCCACCUCGGCUUCCCAAAGUGCUGGGAUUACAGGCGUGAGCCACUGUGCCCGGCCAGUAUGAAUUUUGAACACAGAAUACUUCUGCAGGAUAGGGCGGGCCUAGGUAGUAUGACCAGGUGGAUGGAGUCCUAGGAUAAGCAAGAAGGCACAAGAAUCUGCAAAAUGGACAACAUCCUAGCGAAUCAAAAGAUAAACUUUACCUCUUUCACAAUUUUGCCCAGGCCAGUCUUCAUCCAGAGAAAGCACUCUACUUGGCCCUAUUCACAGACUUCUGGACAUUACUAGUAACAAUAACAGUUGUAUCAAAUGGGGUUCAUGCAGCAGUCGGUCACACGUUAGCUCAAGAAGCUAGCUAGCUAGCCCACACAAUACUGUUUGUACAGAAAAGUCAAUGCAAGUUCCAUACAACCUGAAAAUAAGUGUAGUGGAAACCACUGAUUUAGAUGUUUCCUAGCAGCAUGGUGCUAAGCAUUUUCUGAGCAUCAUCUUACUUAAUAGCCACAACAAUUCUAGGAGGUAAGUACUAUUCUUAUUCCUAUUUUAUUUUACAGAUAAGCAGAGUAAGAAGUAACAAAUAACUUGAUUGAAACCAUAUAGCAAAAUUAAACCGUAUACUCCAAAGAAAAUAUACAGAUGGCAAACAAGCAUAUGAAAAGAUGCUCAACAUCACUAAUCAUUAGGGAAAUACAAAUCAAAACCAAAACCAGUUAUCACUUAUACCCAUUAAGAAGGCUACUAUCAAAAAAUCAGAAAAUCUAAAGUGUUGACCAGCCAAGUAUGGUAGCUCACACCUGUGAUCCCAGCACUUUGGGAGCCUGAGGCAAGUGGAUCAUUUGAGGUCAGGAGUUUGAGAUGAGCCUGACCAACAUAGUGAAACCCGUCUCUACUAAAACUACAAAAAAAAAAAAAAAAAUAAGCAGCGUUUGGAGGCACACACCUGUAAUCCCAGCUACUCAGGAGGCUGAGACGGGAGAAUCACCUGAACCCAGGAGGCACAGGUUGCAGUGGGCCGAUAUCACACCACUGCACUCCAGCCUGGGCGACACAGCAAGACUCUGUCUCAAAAAAAAAAAGUGUUGAUGAGGAUGUGGAAGAAUUAGAAUCUUUAUGCACUGCUGGUAGAAUUGUAAAAUGGUGUAACCAUGACAGAAACCAGUAUGGAGGUUCCUCAAAAAAUUAAAAAUAGAACUACCAUAUGAUUUUCCAAUCCCACUUCUAGGUAUAUAUACAAGACUGAAAGCAGUUCCUCAAGGAAAUAUUUGCAUACCCAUAUCCAUAGCAACGCCACUCCAAAAGCCAAAAGGCAAAAGCAGCACAAAUGUUCAUCAGUGGAUGAAUAAACAAAAUGUGGGAUAUCUAUACGAUGGAAUAUUAUUCAGCCUUAAAAGUAAAAGAAAUCCUGUCACAUGCUACAACAUGGAUGAACCUUGAGGAUACUAUGCUAAGUGAAAUAUGAUGAGCACAACAAGACAAAUACUAUAUGAUUCCAAUUAUAUGAAGAUCUAGAAUAGUCAAAUACAUAGUGACAGAAAGUAGAACAGUGAUUCCCAGGGGCUGAAGCAGAGGUAAAGGGGAGCUGCUGUUUAAUGGGUACAGAUAUCAGAUUUGCAAGAUGAAAAGUUCUGAAGAUCUUGUUCACAGCAAUAUGAGCAUAUUUAAUUCUACUAAAUUAUAUGCAUAAAAAUUGUUAAGAUGGUAACUUUUAUAUUGUAUAUUUUACCACAAUUAAAAAUAUAGAAUAACUGGCCGGGCGUGAUGGUUCAUGUCUGUAAUCCCAGCACUUUGGGAGGCCAAGUCGGGCAGAUCAGGAGGUCAGGAGUUCAAGACCAGCCUGGCCAACAUGGUGAAACCCCACCUCUACUAAAAAUACAAAAAUUAGCUGGGCAUGGUGGUGUGUUCCAGUAAUCCCAGCUACUCAGAAGGCUGAGGCAGGAGAAUUGCUUGAAUCAAGACCCAGGAGACGGAGGUUGCAGUGAGUCAAGAUUUUACCACUGCAUUCCAGCCUGGGCUACAGAGUAAGACUCCGUCUCAAAAAAAGGAAAGAAAAAAAGAAUUACUGCACAAAGCCAGCCAGACUCAAAGGUGGGACUAAUUCUAAAUUCCAUACUCUUUCCACUAUGACUUUAUUGUAUAAUAAAUAAAUAAAUUAUCUUCAUUCAUUACGCAAAGAUGAGUGCCAGCACAAGCACUAGGAAUGCAUCAGUUAAUAAAAGAGUCACAGGUCUCUGCCCUCACACAGUAUAAGUCCUAGCAAAUAUAACUGAUCAUUUCACAAGGACACCUGAAUUAUCCCUAUGUUCAAAAAACUUUGCCAAGAUUUUAGUAUUGCUUCAAUGUUCAGUUUGUUCCUCUCAAAAGCUAUUAAAACAGAGACAUGUAGAGAACUGAAGCGUUUCCCUUGAUUUUUCAAGAUCUCAGAGGCGUCCUCAAAUAACAGUCUUACUUUACUUGCAUUCUAGUGAGUGAAAUCCCCUGAUAUGUUUCCUGGUAAUUCUGGCUCAAGCUCCAUAUUAAUAAAUGCCCAUGUUCCAUUUUUCACUAACCUAAACCUCUUCUUUAUUCAUUAUGUACUUGCCAUCAUUUUAAAUUGCUUAUUUUAAAAAGGUAAAACGAGAAAGCAGAGGAAUAUGGAAAGCAUAUUUCUAAUUCAAGAUUUCAACUAAAGACAUAGUUAUUUAGCUUAGUUAAGUAAGAUUAUUAUUAAUUCACAUCAUUUACUAAACCGCUGAUUCAAAUCCAAACAAGUCAGGUAAUACCUGGCAGUUUCAGUUAUACAGACUCUUUUCCUUUCUUUCUUUCUUUUGCAAAUUUAGAGAACUGGCAACAAUUCUCUCUCUCUUUAAUAAAUUCCUAUUCGAAAUAAUUUUUUCAAGGAACCAACAGACUUCAAAGACAGAUCACUUGGGCGGGGCAUGGUGGCCCUCGCCUGUAAUCCCAGCACUUGGGGAGGCCAAGGAAGGCAGAUCACCUGAGGUCAGGAGUUUGGGGCCAGCCUGGCCAACAUGAUGAAACCGUCUCUACUAAAAGCACAAAAAUAAGUCGGGCAUGGUGGCACAAGCCUGUAAUCCCAGCUACUCAGGAGGCUAAGGCAAAAGAAUUGCUUGAACCUGGGAGGUGAAGGUUACAGUGAGCCAAGAUUGCGCCACUGUACUCCAGCCUGAGCAAGACUCCGUCUCCAAAAAAAAUUAAAAACCCAGAAACAGAUGAAUUAUGUUAAAUUAGCACUAGGCAUUUUUUUCUUCAAAAAUUAAGCCAUCAAGUUUCCCCAAAAAAGCAAGUCAGUUUAACAUUCAAGUUACAAAAGCAUCUUUCAAAUUAUAGUUAGCAUUGUACAAGAUUUAGCCCUUUUUUUUUUAACAGCUAAGCUCUUUAUAUUCUUUUGUAGCUUCUCUAAUUUCACAGUCAGAGCUAGGGUUUACAUACAGAUGACAAAAGUACCUUUGAUAAAGAGUUCCAUAAACUAACAGGAAUACAAAAUCCUACAGGAAAACCAUCUCACCAAGUAGACACAGUAGCUCAAAAAAGAGAACAAGUCUGCUAAAGGCACCUUCUAUGUGGACUAUAUGCCUUAUUGAAGCAUGCUUAUGAAUAUUAAAACAUCAUUUUGACUGCAUUCAUUCCAAGCCUCUUCAGAGACCUCAAGGUCUGACUGCCCCACAAGAUGUCCCACAAAUAGUAGUGACCAGGUUGUCAUCAUUCCCUGGAAACUGCUUAGGAGUAAGAUUCUUUUCUAAUUGAGGAAGGCAGGGAAAAAGAAAUUGACCAGUUGUACCUUAAAAAGAGUAUCACAAACCAAAUGUUAUUCAAACUCUUCAUUUAACUGUAAGAGAAAAUUACUGUUUUUAAUUUAAAAUGCUUUACCUAGAUUUGAAACAAAAUAUUUGCACUAAGGGCUUAUAAGGCUCAUUUGUUUUUGAAAAAACUGUCUCAUUUAAAUGUUCAUAACUCAGCAACACAUGAAAAAAGGUACAAAACUAUAUAUAUAUAUAUAUAUAUAUAUAUAUAUAUAUGGAUUCUAUUUUUCAAAAACUGUAUAUUACUAUAUAUGCCUUAGUUAUCUUCCAAAAACAGGACACUGCUUUUAUUCAAGGUCCUCACAACAUCUAGCAGGAAUUUCUUGUUACUUCAUUUGGCUUAAACAAAAUAGGGUAGCAGCUAUCCUAUGUUACUAAAUAGCUUGGAGUCACAGAGGGCCAUUUCAUAUUAGGGACAUAACAUAUAUGUAUGCUUUCUGUAUAUAUGCUUUAUACAUACCAAGUAUAUAUAGAGAGAAUAUGUAUACGUGCCUAAAAUAAAACACAGAUGAAGGAUUUACCUUCAUCGUACAUUUCCUCUAUCAAAUAGGCCUCUGCUCGAUCUUUCAGGGCAUUCACAUUGUCAGGUUCCAUCUGUAAAACUUCAGAACAUACCCUAAUAGCUUCAACAGGCUUCUCGUCCUAAAAGGAAAUGUGAGAAAAGGAUUUAUGGUUGGUAUUCCAUACGUGGAGUUUUCACAUUUCUGGGAACAAGUCAACUGUUACCUUAGAAAAGCAGUGGCAAAUCCUCUCCUUUGAACGAACUGUAUAUUCAACAAUGCUUGGCUCUGUUUUCAUGACAGAUUCGUAUUUGCUGGUAGCAUCUGUGUAUCUAAGAAAUGAGCAAAUCAUGAUAAGAAACAAUGUCAUUUGAUUUCCAGAGUUGCAGAAAGGCCCUUCCCCUCUUCACCAUGUGUUACUUAAUCAAUCCAAUUGGAUGAGUCCCUGGCUUCAGAUUUGGGUUUUCUCUUAUUAAUCUAGAGUCGCCUAGAAGGUACACUCCAUAGUUAAGAGUAAGAAGAUAAAACAAAAGACCACGGAAGAUGCAGAUGGACAGAACAAAGCAUACCUGUGA